ACCCGUCGAAAAUCGACGGGAAUAAAUGAAAAUAUAUAAAUAUUUAAUACAUUUUUUAUUUGAUGAUUUUUUUUCACUAAAAUAAAACAUUAAAUAAAUUUUUUGUUUUAAAGUAAAAGAUGUUAACUAAAUAUAUUUUUACUAAUAUUUAGUCAAACAAUUCUCUCAACUCAAAAGCUAAUUGUAAGAAACUAAUUUUAGACACUUCCACCAAUCCAAUAUGAUUAUGAUGAUUUUAGAAAUUUUCGAUGCUUAAAAAUCAACUUCUGUCUCCCCCUCCAAAAAAAAAAAAAAAAAAAAAUCCGAAGUCCCAAGCCAAAACAUGAUUGAGUAAAAGACGAAAUAUAUCCAUCCUCAUAUAACGCAUUAUUGUAAUGCGAUUAUAUAUAAAAGAAAAGAAAAACUUAAGAAACCCUUGAAAGCACAAAAGAAACAGACUAAGGGCCGAGCCUCAUUAAAACCCUUUUACGGAAAACCCGGUAGGAAAAAUCGUAGAAGGAAAAAAGAGUACUCGUCUAAAACGAAAACAAAAAGGAAAGGAAAGAGGAGUGGGAAGGUCAGUUUC
rnacentral:lncRNA from 1 species